ensembl:lncRNA
AUGACAAACGAUAUGCACCCGGUCCUCCCUCCUCGCUGCCCUUGGGGGACUUCGCACACACAAACCCGCUCUUCAUUCAUUCGCCCUUUAUUAUUAUUCCCUCACGCCUUUCGGUGGUACCUACCACCGGCCGCCCCGAGCGAUGGGCAGUGGCUGCUGCCGCCGCGCUGUCGCCCGCAUCCGCGGGGCUGCCCGCGCUCCGCUCCCCGCCGAGUGUCCCGCGCCGCCGCCGCCUCCCCCGGCCGGGCCCGGCGCUCGCGGGAGGCAGCGAAGCCGCCGGCCCCCGCCGUGCGGGCAGCCGCUCCCGGGACGCCGCCCGCCUCCCCGCCGCUCGCCCUGCCCGCGGAGCACGGAGAAGCCCCUCACCUCUCCUCCGGGUGCCGGGGGAGGGGGCUACCAUCACAUGUGCUUCUCCUCCGCUCUGCUCUUCCCCCCCCCUCCGCCUCCUCCCUCCGCAGCGGCGGCAGCAGCAGCCGCCUCAGCCGCGCUCCCUUUGUUGUAGCCGGAGCGGCGGCGCUGCCGAGCGCCGCGCACAAAGGAGCGCGGCCGGGGGGAGCGGCCCCGUCGGCAGCACGCCGCCGAGGCAGCCGCCGCACAGCCGGGCUGCGGGAGCCACGCCGCGCCGCACCGCGGAGCCAGCCCCGCCGCGGCGAGGCGCCGGCGACGCCGGGUCUCUCUGGCCACCGCGACGGGGAUGCUGAAGGCUUGCUCCGGGCCGGCGGAGAAAAGACGGUUCCACUCGGGCGGCACUCUGGGCUCCGGCUGAUGCUGUGGGCCUGCCGCCGCCAUCCCGCUGCCCCCAUCCCGCUGCCCCGCCGCUGCUCCUCGGCCGCCCCCUCGCCAUGGUGGGAGACAGCUCGGCCGCCGCCCAGCCGCUGCUGCGAACAGGACCGCCGCUGGCGCUGUGCUGCACCUCGGCCCUCCUUGUGCUCGCCCUCUCCGCGCUGCCCGCCAGCCGCGCGUCCAACCCCCUGCCUGGCAGCGAGUGCCAAAGCGGCGGCACCGCCAAGGGGAAAGGCAUCAACUGCUCAGGUAAUGCCCCGCCGGCAGCACCCAGCGGGGCCCCCCGCAGCGCUCCCCGCACAGGCGCGGCGUGGCCGCCCCCGCCCCGGCGGUCGGCCGGCACAGCAGCCCGCGCCCACGCGUGCACGUGGGGAGGCUGAGCCUGAGCCGACCCGCUCCGGCUUUCCCGCGGCCCGGCCCGGCCCGCCGCGCCCUCCCCUCCCCUCCCCUCCCCUCCCCUCGGCCUGGCCCGGCGCGGCGCUGCGCUGCGCUGCGCUGAGGGCGGUGGAAGACAAAGGAGCGGCCCUGUCACCCAGGCCCGGCCCCGGCCCCGGCGCCAGCGGUGGGGGCUCCGGCGGGCAGGGGAUCGCUCUCUCCGGCGGCGGGGGGCACGAGGGCACCCCGGGACUGAUGGGGGAGUUUGCCGCCAUCUCUCAGCUUUUGUUGUUCUUUCUUUCCCUCCGUUGUUCUCAGUACGGGCAGGUGCGCGCCAGCCACCCUCGGGGCUACCCCCGGCCUCCCUCCCCACGGGGUUCCCAUUCCUCACUUUUUCCGUCCUGCCCGAGAAAGAGGGGAAAUAGCCUGGAGGUACCACGUGAGCGUAACCCAGCACAGCGUUUACACGGAAUGUUUCUUCUGUCUCCCUGUCUCUCUGGUCGUGUAUACAGACCCUGA